rnacentral:rRNA from 1 species
GUGGGGAAUAUUGGACAAUGGGGGGAACCCUGAUCCAGCCAUGCCGCGUGUGUGAAGAAGGCCUUUUGGUUGUAAAGCACUUUAAGCGAGGAGGAGGCUACCGAGAUUAAUACUCUUGGAUAGUGGACGUUACUCGCAGAAUAAGCACCGGCUAACUCUGUGCCAGCAGCCGCGGUAAUACAGAGGGUGCAAGCGUUAAUCGGAUUUACUGGGCGUAAAGCGCGCGUAGGUGGCCAAUUAAGUCAAAUGUGAAAUCCCCGAGCUUAACUUGGGAAUUGCAUUCGAUACUGGUUGGCUAGAGUAUGGGAGAGGAUGGUAGAAUUCCAGGUGUAGCGGUGAAAUGCGUAGAGAUCUGGAGGAAUACCGAUGGCGAAGGCAGCCAUCUGGCCUAAUACUGACACUGAGGUGCGAAAGCAUGGGGAGCAAACAGGAUUAGAUACCCGGUAGUCC